rnacentral:ncRNA from 21 species
CCUCGCAUGACAGGUGUUCGGUCCAGCCAGUUGAUUGGGGAGAACUAAAAACCUAUCUCCGGCUCUCUGGAGUCUUGUAUUGGUUCCUUUUUCCCAUAUCAACUGGCUGGCCGUUCUGAGAUUAUACUGUCAAAACUUGAUCUAGACAAUACUAGCGAAAGGACAUGCGUGACUUUGAUU